GUUUUUUUUUUAUGGUUGUCUGUCCUUUUCAUAUCUUAUUUUCAACAAAAUGGCUUAUGAAGAACUUCUCCAUAUGUUGUUUGUUUUCACUUAUGGUUAUUGUUCUUUGUCUGCAUUCUAAUUUUUAAGUUUAAUUUUUAGUUAUCUUUAUAUUGGCAUUUCGGAUUAAAUGCAUCUUCAAUUAUUUUUGUAUGAUUUUUUUCCAUUGCUUACUUACUCUGUUUUCUAUUAAAAUUAAAACUUAUUACUUCUUUCAUGGUGGAUUUCAAGCUUUUGUGCUAAAGAAAUGACCUUUACAACUACAACAUCAGCUGUUUUCUAAAUACUUUUUGUUCUCGUUGUUUUUUUAAAAAAAUAUAAUACUAUUUAGGCAUGUAUUGUGCUCCGCUAGAUUUUAUUUAUGUGUUGUCUCAUAAAAGUCUUUCAUUUCACAGUAAAAUGUAUAGUGCAACUUAAAGAGAAAACCACUAUUUCGUUAUGUGUUCUUUUUCAUUAUAUUUUUCUCAAUUUUAUUCUAGUUGUUUUGUUUAACCUAUAUAUGCUUAUGUUGUUUUUAUGUUUUUCUUUUUUUUGUCAUAAGAUUUUGUAUUUAUGAACCUCUUAUUCAGAUUGUGUAACAUUUGAAUCUGGUUUGUUGCACACACUAACAUUGGCAGCUAAAACAAAGUUUUAUUGUUAGUUUAUAUUUACGAAUGUAUGUGUUCUUCUAUUUAUUUAUGUCCUUUCUUAUUUGACCUAUGUCUUUGACUAAUUGAUCAACACACCAAAUCUUCGCAACUACAAAAAUCUUUUAGUAUGCAAGAAUACAAUGUUGUUCCUUCUUCUUCACAAGUUUUAACAAAUUUGGUUUGCUUAUUUUGUUUUUAUGUAUUUUUGCUUUUUUUUUUAUAUGAUUAUGUAAUUAUGAACCUCUUAUGUUGUUGGAUGUCCAGAUUGUGUAACAUUUUAAUCUAAUUUGUUGCACACAAUUAGAUUGGCAGCUAAAGCAAAAUUUUAAUGUUAGUUUAUAUUUACGGAUUUCUGUGUUAUUCUAUUUAUUUAUGUCCUGUUUAUUUAACCUCUGGCUUUGAAGGAUUCAUCAACACACCAAAUAUUGGCAACUCCGUCAAGGAGAUACAUCCUAGAUUUUUUUUUUCUUCUUGUUUUCCAUGCUUGUAAUGCCCAACAUGAGUAUCUAAUUCUACCCUUUGAGAUUUGAGAUUUUCUCUUUAGUUGUUCCUCUACUCUAACACAAAGUUGAACUAAAUCAUUUAAAUCAUUAUAAGGAAAAAGUUCAACUUUAUCCUUAAUUUCAUAAUUAAGACCACUUUGGAAUCGAGCCCUAAUCCGUGCCCUUAACAUAAAUAACUCAAUUAUCUGCUUCUAUUGUUCUACAAUCAUGUUUAUAUGCGUUAACUUAUUGAGUUGUUUCAUCAACUCUCUAUCAUAUUAGGAAGGCUCAUACCUCUUCCUAAGAGCUGAUCUAAACUCAUUCCAAUACCUUAUUUAGGGAAAAUUAUGCAACCUAAGAUCUUUUGUAUAGGUGGUCCACCAAGUCAUGGUUGAAUCUUGAAAACUAAGGGUAGCUAAGGUAUCCCUCCUCUCAUGAUUUAUUUGGUGAGCCGAAAAAAAUUUCAACCUUCAUCUCCAAGGUUACGUAAUCUUCUAUAUUUGAUGAAAAAUGAAAAUAAGGAAGGUCAAUCUUAGGCUCUUUAGGCACAUGAUGGGCUCGAUGUCUAUGUUGUCUAGCAUUUUAUUGGUAGUAGUAUGUAUUGUGAUACCUACUAUAAUCAUAUUGGCUUUGGUAAGGGAUUGUAUGAUGAUUGCUUAUAUGUUUGUGAGAUCCCUCUCUUAGGAAAUCACAAAUUUAGAAAUUAUUUCUUUCAAUUCUGAAAAAUUCAUUUGCUUGUUUUGUUACUCUUUCAUAGACAUUAAAAGAAUCUUGAGUGUUUUGAUUACCAUGAACACUAGAUUGAUGUGAAGGAUCACCCAUUGUUGAAUUAAAAUAGAAAAAGUUUUCACAAAAAUUUACAAUUCAAUUGAGUGAUCAAAAUAUUUUUUGAAAAUAUUUUUUUAAUUUUUGGUGAAGUAAAUAGAUCAAGUAUGAGAGUUCUCCAAGUUCACUCCCACGAAAAGUGAGGUGAGUCACAAUGGACUACUUACAUACCAAGAGCUUAUCCCAAAUAAUUCUCAACAUAAGUUCCCUCAAAAUAAUUUUAGAAAUGAGAGUGGGUGUUUGAAUGUCGAAAUGAAACUAAAGAUCAAAGGAAGAUCUACUAAUAAGCAAAAAAAGAUAAAAAUCCUAUGUAUCACAGAUACUUAAAAGCAAGAAAAUAAAGGAAGGAAAUAAAGGAAGGAAAUAAAAGCAUGAAAUUAAAGCAAGAAAUUAAUGCUAGUGAAAAGUAAAUUAGCCGCAUCCUAAAGUUCAAGUGCAAUUGACACUAAGACUCCAGCAGCACACUUACACCACUAAUGCACAUGUAAUCUAAGAAUUUGAAGUAAAAUAAGUACAAAAGAAGAUGGACAACAAUAUAGAUAAAUAGUUAAGUGAAUCUCAAGAGAACAUUACAAAGAACUUACUUGAAAUGGACUUUAUUAAAAAUUUUAAUUUCAAGAAAUAUACUAAGUUAUGUUGGAGAUCCCACAUCGACUAGAGAUAAGGACAUUUCAUAAUAUAUAAAUGGGUGCAGACCUCAAUCUUAUGAGCCGGUUUUAUGGGGUUGAGUUAGCCUUAAAGUCCACUUCGCAAUAAGUUACUUUUAUACAUAUAGCUUAAUGAACAUAUCAAGGCAUAAGUAAGUAUAUUUGAUUAUUGUUAUAUAACAAAUUCAUUUGUAAUUCACAUUCCUAAAAGUAUUUACAAAAGAUUCGAAGUAAAGCAUGUCCUUAUCUCAAGAUGCACUACUUGUAAACAAAUAACCCAUCAUAUUCUACAUAUUCCUUUGACAAACUUGAUUACCCGAACUAGAAGUUGCUCAGUUGGAGAUCUCACAUCGACUAGGGAUUAGAGCCUUUUAUUGUAUAUAAAUGGAUGCAAACCUCAACCCUGUGAGCCGGUUUUAUGGGGUUGAGUUAGGCUUAAAGUCACAUCUCUAUCUUAGUGGAAAGUAUUGAAUAGAGUAUAAAUCAUAUACAUCUGUGUUAAAAUGAGUAUACAUCUAUAUUAAAAUGAGUGAUGUCAUUCAUACAUCUAAAGAAAUCAAUGUACAUUCUCAUUUCAUAAUAAAAAGAUAUGAAUGACAAUUACAACACAAAGACCCUACCUACCACGAGUUGGUCAUACUCUAAUCUACGCCCAUAAACUAUUUCCCGUGAGUUCUAGGCAUGGAGGCUUCUCAAUGUUUCAAGCUAUAAACAAAGACUGAGAAUUGUACACUCAAUCAUACAAUAAUAUAAAUAAAAACACAGGAAAAAUCAAUAUCCUCGCAUACAAUAACAUAAUCAAGAGGACAAAUUAUAAUAUACAUCAAAAAAUUAAUUUGGUGAAUUUAAAGACUCAACCAUACAUUCAAUCAAAUCAAAAUGUAUUUCACAAGUAUUAUUAUAGGAUAUGACAACCCAAACUAACAUCGUUUUCCUCCCUCAUCCAACGUCUACUUUCAUGACUUACUACUUAAAAGUACACCUUCAUUGAGAUUAUUUAAAAAAAAAACUUAAAUUGUUAUAUGAAGGUGCAUGGGGAAAAUAGAGAGUGGAGGAGAAUUUGCCAAACUAAUGCCCUUUUCUCUUUCCUUUUUUGUACGUAUGCAACACUUUAUAUUCUAAUUUUCAUGCACAUUUCAAUUCUUCACAAAUGACCUACAAACAAAUAGUGGUCCAUAUGCAUAAAACAAAAUGUAACUAGGGUUUCCAUUCGCAUGUAAACACCCCACGUUUUUCUUACUGUACCCAUAUAAAUUAUCCUUAUUAAUUUAUAAUAUUAUUAAUAAAUUGAAUUUUGAAAAAAUGAUUUUUCUCAUGAUUUAAAACUAAUUUGUUUAACAAUUUGAUACAUACAUUAUAUUAUAGUUAAUGAAAAUAAUAAUUAAUAACUAAAAUCUUAAUAACUAAUUAGAUACAAUUUAAAAAUUAUUUUAUAAUUUUUAUUAAUAAUAAAAACUAUUUAAAUACUAAUACUCAUUCAAUUAUAUCAAUUUCCUUCCAAAUCCUCCUCAUACAUAUAGUAAAGAAAUUGUUUUUCGUUUUCCAUGUUCUUUACACGUUUUCUAUUAAUUUCUUUGUGGACAAUAAGUUUAAGCAUUCCAUCUUCAUUUUGAAAAAAGAAACAAACAGGUGAGAGCUACUCAUACGCAAGUUCCUUUUUCAUACUAUUAGAGAAGUGUAGAUUAUGUCAUAGAAGAGCGUCUAAAGGUAACAGAGAUACAAAAAUGUGAAGACAACACAGAAACAUGACAGAAAUAGAGAUCCACCCAUGAACUAAAAUUAGGUAGAAAAUGUUUUACAAAGAUGUCUCUCGUCACUUGUUUUAGAACAAUGCAAACAUAACAACAACCACACCAACAAAUAUAACAGAUUAACAACAACAGGAAUUUGCACCAAACAUAUGUGCCAUAAGGACUCAUAUUGCAGCAGCAAUUAUGGAAGGAAUCCUUUUUUCUUCAAAUCCUCUACAGAAUCCUUAAUAAUCUCCUCAAUUGGAGUGAUUUGCAAACCCAAAUCCAUAAGUUUCUUUGAUCCAUCCUUCACUCUCAAUAAUCCUGGUUGGGUAUCUCGUUGCAUCCUUUCAAGCAAAAUCACAAAAUACAUCAUUCGCAACUAAGUUAUGCAUUAACAAUAGAUGUAUGAAGUGUGUGGGUAACUUACUUAGGCACAUUGUACUCUGGAUAAAGUUCACCAACUUUGGCCGCAAAAUCACCAAAGUGAGAGAUAGAUUCAACACACACAUGCCUACCAACUGCAGAUUUGUUCUCAUACACCAAAAUAUGUGCCAAUGUUACAUCCUUCAAGUGGACCGAUCCCAUAUAAAUGUCCUCGUAUGUUUCAUCAGAACCUGCGACGCGACAUACAAAUUUGUCUCAAAUUAUCAGUAAUUCCCCUAAAAAAAUCAUAACUUGGGGAGUUUGAUAUUAGUAUUCGAGUCAACAAUUAUACUGUGCAAAAUCUAAUGAAAAGAGUAUAGCACAAUCAAACAAGUCUAAUACUUUUCACGAAGGCAUCAAGUUCUAAAUAUCCUACACAGCUACACCAUCAACUACACUGUCGCAGGUCUUAGAAAACAUAUAAAAUAAUAAUAAAAUAAAAAUAUGAAUAAUAAAUUAAUAACAUAAUAAUAAUUAAAUAAUUAAAAUAAUAAUAAAUAAUAAACAAUAAUAAUGUUGGAGAUCUCACAUCGACUAAAGAUUAGAGUCUUUCAUUGUAUAUAAGUGGGUGCAAACCUUAAAUUUAUGAACUUGUGAGUCAUUUCAUUGUAUAUAAAUAAAUGAAAACCGAUUUUAUGGAGUUGACUUAGACUUAAAGUUUAUUUUGUAAUAAAUAAUAAAAAUAACUGAUAGUAAAAAUAUUAAAAUUAAAAUUAUAAACUAAUUAUAAUAUUAUAUUUUUUAUUUAAUUAAAUUAGUUUAUAAUAAUAUAAAUUAAUUAAUUAUUAUAUAUAUUAUUUUUAAAUUUUUUAAAAUUUAUUAUAUUUAUCAAAUUAGUAAUAAACUUAAUUCAAAAAACUUCAUUUUACUCAACUCCUCAAAUUCCCAGUAUCAAAUUUACUCUCCAUUUGAAAAAAACCCAACUUGAUACAAUGAGUUUAAAAAUAACUAUCUAAAAUAAAGAAUAAAUUUAUACUUAUAUAAUAUAAAAAAUAUAUAUUAAAAUAAUAAUAUUGAAAAUUGUAUAAAAAUACUGCAUUGUAUGAUUAUAUGAUUAACCCAAAAGAUAAAGCAUUCUCAAGCUUUUUGGGUAGUAGAAGAUUUCUUGAUACCAUAUUAUAAUAAUAUAAUAAUAUUUUAAAUUAAAAAUAAAUUAAAUAUAAUUAAAAUAUUAUUUUAAGGAUUUGUCAAGUGGAUUUUUUUAUUAUUGUAUGACCACCCAUUUUAGAACUUUUCCAGUUCACAUUUCCAAUAUUGAAGGAAACUCCUGCUGCAAAAAUAGAAAGAAAUAUUUGGAAAAUCCAACUGAUUAAGCAUUAGUGUCUCUACCUUGAAGAAGGCGCAAGAGCAUGAGCAUGCUUGCAUUAAGCCUGGGUGAAAUAAUCGGACCCAUCACAGUGCCAGGAUUCACUACAACAACAUCCAACCCACUCUCCUUUGCAAAUUCCCAAGCUGCUUUCUCCGCCAAAGUCUUCGACAAUGGAUACCACAACUGUUGCACACACAAACACUUCACACACCAACACAUAUAAGAAAAAGAAACAGAAAAUGAAAAAAAUGAAACCCUUUCUAACCCCUUUUUGCUUGCAAAAUUCAACGUCAGCCCAGCAGUCCUCCCUCUUUGGAACAUCACCGGGCCAACUGGGGCUCGGAAUAAUCGCCGAGACGGAGGACGUGACCACCACGCGACGCACUCCUGCUUCUUUCGCUGCCGUUAAUACGUUCACGGUACCCUUUAUCGCCGGGUCCAGAAGAUCCUUCUGCAUGAAGACUCAAAUGGGAUGAUGAAAAAACCCAAAAGAUUGAAAAUUUGUGAAGAGAUCGAGGAAACAAGACCUGGGGAUCCGAGACUUGAUCAACAAUGCAGGGAGAGGCGAGGUGGAAAACGCCGGCGCAGCCGCGCAUGGCAGCGAGUACGGAGUCAUAGUGGAGGAGCUCCAUCUGAAAGAGGCGGAGGCGCUCCGACGCUCCAUCCAAGUCUUGUAGAUGCUUUGUCUCGGCCUCAUCGUCUGUUAGAAAAGUUGUGUUGUGCUGUGUAAGUAUAUAUUGGGAUGAAACGAAUGAAUAAUAAAAGUUUGGAAUGUGCUAACUGAGAUUUUGGACGGUGGCGUGAACGGUGUAGCCGCGGUCCAGAAGGAGGUGCACGAGCCAUGAACCGAUGCCGCCGCUGCCGCCGGUGACACACACCACCUUCUCCAUUUUGCAGCUGUAUUCUAAGAUGCACUACUUGAAGAACUCCACUGUACUAAGAUAAUGAUGACACGUGUAAGAGAGGAAGAAACAAAGAAAACGAAAGACAGCCACAGAAAGAACAGAGAAAAAAUGAAAACGACGUUCAGAUAAAAGGCAAAAAAUGACCGAAGCAAACAGUUCCAAACAGCAAAAUAUUAGGUUUUAUUUUUUAGUGACUAAAUUAAUAUUGAAUUAUAAAUUUUUAAAGAAUACUUGUAUAAUGUAAUUGUCAUAUUUCUCUAUUAUGUAGAAUUGUAGUGAAAUGGAGGUUAAAUAAUGGUGCCCAACUUGCUAGCUGAAGGUUUUAAAAGGCAAGGAAAAAAUGAUAGCAAAUUAACCGUCAUGUACAAAAAAAGUGGUGGUCCCACAAUCACAAAAAUAGCAUAUAAAUUAAAUAAAAGAACUGACACGUAGAGUUUAGUGUAAUUUGAUGAUUUAUUUAUAAAUUAUUAUUUAUGGUUAUUUUACUGAUUUUUGUAAUAAGUAUUUGAUAUAGUUUAGGAGAGGAUAUGGUAUGCUUUAAUAAGAGGAUUUGAGCACACUUAAGCUUAAAUGAGUGUAUAUAAGCAACAAAAGAAAGAAAAAUAAAUCUAUACAAUUGUUGGAUCAUUCCAAGACUCAAUCAUAGAGGAACACAAACUCAUAGUAGAUAAUUUUUUCUUUUCAUUAAUUUAAUUUCCAACUCAUUGAGAUAAUUAUAAAAGCGUUUCUAUCCAUAACAUUAUGACAAAAUGUAGAGUACACCUUAUUUUCUUAAUAUAUAUAAUUUGACUUUUAUUAACCAAGUGGGCUUCUUCAAUGCCUAAAUCAUUUUAAUAUUUGGCUCCAUUAUUGUGUACCUGUUUCUCAUUUUCUGGUUCUUAUCUCAGACCAACUAAAGCCCACCACGUAUCGUUUCCCAAUUUUUACUUUAUGCAUAUGGACCCGCUUUUUGUUUGUUGCUAUUUUACUUUAUUCCUUUUCAUUUUAUUUUUAAUUCAAAAUAUUAUUAUAUUAUUAUAAGUGUUUGUUAAGUGUAUCUUAUUUACUGUUUUUUAUUGUUUAUGGUUUUAAAGAAACUUUUCUCUUUUGUCAUACAUUCACAUGGGGAGUGCUCAUUUGUUUGCAUGAAAAUUGAAAUACUAAGAGUUGCAGAUGUACAAGAAAGAAAGAGUAGCUCUAAACAAAGAAUAACUUUAUUUUUUAAAAUAAUUUCAGUAACAUUCUUAUAACUUUCUUUUAUUUACAGUACUUUCAUUCUUAUGUCGUAAAAUUAGAAAAAGUAGUUUUUUAUCAAUCAAUAUCGAACGGGUGAGUCAUUUAGUUUCGGAAAUCGAUCAACUGCGUUAAAAUACAUUUAAUACACUCAAUAAAUGACUAUUGUUACAAUUAUGAAAACUUCCGACAAAUCAAAGUCAUAUUCCAUCGAAUUUGGGUGACACCCCCAAGAAAAUAGCUAAUAUUGAUUUAUUGAAGAUAUUCUCCAAAUAUACAUCUCUAUAAUUCAAGGAAUCCCCUAAAAAGCCACUUAACACUGAUAUUUGAUAAAUGCGGUUCAUCACACAAAAUGACUCAUGACUAAACAUUAUAAAUAAAUAUUUUACAAAAGAGGAAUGUAUGUUUUUUAUCAGUUUCACUAUACACUCUUAACACAAGGUACUCACUUGAUCGUCGAAAAAUCUUUUGCAAGUUAACUCCUAAUCGACUAUUGAGAAAUUGAGGAUAGGGAGUCUUGAAGUUUGAAGGAGUGAAGUACUAAGGAGCAAGGGAGGGACCGACAACCAAAACAAUUGUUACAGUCAAUCCCAUGUACUAUUUAUGCUCACUUUGUCAAUACAAGUACAAGUUCCAUCAUUUCAACGUGUGUAAGAGGCUUGACGAGAAGAUUUGUUGUAUUCGACAUUCCCCAAUGCGAAGAUAAUUUUUUUUUUUUAGUUUUAUACUUCAUUUUUGCACAUCAUUUUUUUAUGAAUUUUGUGGCUUCCAAAAAAAGAAAAAAAAUAAAUGAAUAAAAACACAGUCACCAUGAGCAAUCACCAUCACUUGAAAAUGAAGAAGACACAACACUCUCCAUCAAAUAUUGUUGGAAUUAAAAAAGAGUAUGGAAGUGGAGAAUGAAGGUACGGAGAUGCAAGGAGAAUUUGCCAUCAAUUUUGUGCAUAUGGGAUUACUUUUUGCAUCACAUUUUGGUAUCACCCUUCCUUCAUAGGUGUUUCUUUCUGCACCUCUACAUUUUUCUUCUUGCACCUCUACAUUUUUCUUCUUGCACCCCUACAUUCAUGUGUAAUUACAAAGUAUCUCUAAGACAUCUAAAAAAACCCAAAAGGAGCAUAUCUCACUCUUUCUUUCUUCCUUUUCUACAAUUGUUGUGCACCUUGUUCAAGGAGCGAACAAAGGACAAUAAGUGGUAAUGCAUUGGGAUGUUGUUGGUGGUUCAUUUUCUGAAAUCUUGAUGGUGGUUAGAUGAUUUCUAAGAUGACUCUGUAUUAAGAAAAGAAGAUAAGUAAUAUUAUUUUUUGUUUACACUGUAUUGAGAAAAGAAGAUAAGUAAUAUUAUUUUUUGGUUACAUAUUGGAUGUUUAAUUUUUUAACUAAUUUUGAAUUCCGUAAUGCAACUUUUAGGAUUUCAGAGACAAGUGAGUCCGUAAUAGAGCACAUUGAUCCAAGAAUUAACUAGAUUGGUGUAUUUGUGUGGUUAUUUACACUUUAUAAACAUGGUUGUAAUUCCUAGCUGUAAUGGCAAAUAGAAAACUCUUGUAGCAGCCAAAUGGAUCCAGACUUUUUUUGUAAAAAACGUGGUGCCCCACUUGCAGCAAACAGAAAAUAACGAGUAAAUAAAAAAAUAGGGUUUGCAGGAAAUAUAGAAAACAAUGAGGAAAGAAAAGAAUGGCAUGUGAAGGCACUGUAAGGAAGGGUGAUGCCACAUCGUGAUCAGAAUGAGUGGUUGUGAUGGAUGAAUGAAUAAUUAAGAUUCCUUCACAUUCUAAACAGUAUCUCACUUUCAUUCUCUAACCAUUUAUAGUAAUAUCCCCACGUAUUCUUUCUUCUUUUAUAACAAAAACAAAAACAACCACCCCUUUUCUCUUUUCUUUUUUAAUUUACUACUUUUAAUAUUAUUAUUUUAAUAUUUUUUUAUAUCAUUUAAUUAUAAAUCAUUCUUUUAUUCUGCUCUCCAUGUGAAUGUUUGAAGAGUAAAUCAUCUAGGUGUCAAAAAGAACAUUGACAUAUUGGUUUAUAAUUAAAAAUUCUUGAUUCUACAUAUUUUUAACUUUGAGUAGGAAGUUGAUGUUAUAUUAUUAUGUUUAUAUUUAUUAGUUCAAAUUUAAUUGAAUUGAAUAACUGAUUUUUUUCUUUAAUUUAUAAUAGAAUUAAACAAUUAUUAAAAUAAUUCAUAUUUAUUAAAACUAACCACACCAACAAAAGUUUAACGAUACAUAUGAUAGUGCCUCAUUUUAGAACUAAGAGGAAUUUGCAGCAAACAUGUGGCUUUUAGGACUCGUAUUGCAGCAGCAAUUAUGCAAGGAAUCCUUUUUUCUUCAAAUCUUCUACAGCAUCCUUAAUAAUCUCUUCAAUUGGAGUGAAUUGCAAACCCAAAUCCAUAAGUUUCGUUGAUGCAUCCUUCACUCUCAGUAAUCCUGGUUGGGUAUCUCGUUGCAUCCUUUCAAGCAAAAUCACAAACUACAUCAUUUACAAGUACGUUAUGCAUUAACAAUACAUGUAUGAAGUGUGUGGGUAACUUACUUAGGCACAUUGUACUCUGGAUAAAGUUCACCAACUUGGGCUGCAAAAUCACCAAAGUGAGAGAUAGCUUCAGCACACAGAUGCCUACCAACUGCAGAUUUGUUCUCAUACACCAAGAUAUGUGCCAAUGCUACAUCCUUAAAGUGGACCGAUCCCAUAAAAAUGUUCUCAUAUGUUUCAUCAGAACCUGCCACGCCACAUACAAAAGGUCACAAAUUCUCAGUAAUUCCCCUAAAACAUCAUAAAUUGGGUAGUUUCAUGUUAAUAUUCCGGUCAACGAUUAUAGAUUAUAUGGUAAAAAAUUUAAUAAAAAAAAAGUGUAGUGAUUUUCACGAAUUAUAAAUGUCCUACGCAUCUAUACCAUCGACCAAGUUGUAGCAGGUCUUGUGAAAUUAGUCUAAUAGUUAGGUAACAACAACAGUAGCCCUAUUCACAUUAUACCAUUUUAAUCAGUUAAAAAUGUAUGCAUCAUUCAUCACAAGAUCCCUAACAUGGUGUUAAAUAGUGGUAUGCGACUAUGACUUUAGUGGUUCCGUCCACAGAUUUGGACGGAUGAAUACAAACAGAAAGCAUGAAAAUCAAAAGUAAAAAAUUGUUAGAUUCUUUCCUCGCAUAGCUGUGAGGAGUAGCAAAGAAAGUUGAAUAAACAUUAUAAUCAUAUAUUUACAAUAAAAUAUAUAUUCUAUAACGGAUCAUUACAUAGUCUGAUGACAUAUAUUUAUCAAAUAAUCCAUUUUUUUAAUAAUAUAAUUGAUUAUGGAAUAUACAUGUUAUUAUAUUUUUAUAUAAUUAUUAUAUUAUAUAUAUACACUAAAAAAAAUAUAAAUAUAGUAAAAAAAAUAAUUAGUUGUUAUAAUAACUAAAUUAGAAAUUAUUUUAAAAACUAAAAAAAAUAAUUUUUAAAUUAGUUUAUAUUAUUAUUAAAUAGUUUUGUAAUUUGUAUUUAAUUAGCUACCAAGGUUUUAACUCCCAAUUAUUUAAUUUCUAAAUUUGGUCGUAAAAAUUUUGGUUGCUAAUUAAAUACUAAUUUAAAAAUUAUUUAAUGAUAAUACAAACUAAUUUAGAAACUAAAGUUUUUUUUUCUCUAAAAUGAUUUAUAAUUUAGUUACUAUAUCAACUAAAUAUUUUUUAUUCUCUAAACAUAGUUUUCUAUUUGAUGUUUUUUUUUAGUGAUAUUAUUAAUUGAUUAAUAUUUGUAUUUUUAUUCUAAACAUAAUUAAUUAUACAAUAUAAUACAAUGUAAUAAUAAUAAGUAGUCAAACAAUAAAGAAAUAUAAAAUAAUAAUAAUAAAAUAGUCUCUACCUUGAAGAAGGUGCAAAAGCAUGAGCAUGCUUGCAUUAAGCCUCGGUGCAAUAACCGGACCCAACACCAUCCCAGGAUUCACUACAACAACAUCCCACUCACUCUCCUUUGCCAAAUCCCACGCUGCUUUCUCGGCCAAUGUCUUCGACAAUGGAUACCACAACUGUUGCACACACAAACACUUCACACCCCAACACAUAACAAAAACAAACACAAAAUUCAAAAAAUGAAAACCCUUUCUAACCGCUUUUUCCUUGCAAAAUUCAACGUCAGUCCAGCACUCCUCCUUCUUUGGAACAUCACCGGGCCAAUUGGGGCUCGGAACAAUCGCGGUGAUGGAGGACGUCACCACCACGCGACGCACUCCAGCUUCUUUCGCUGCCGUUAGCACGUUCACGGUGCCCUUUACCGCCGGGUCCAGAAGAUCCUUCUGCAUGAAGACCCAAAUGGGAUGAUGCAAAAACCCUAAAGAUUGAAAAUUUGCAAGAAGAUCGAGAGAACAAAACCUGGGGGUCCUGGACUUCAUCAACAAUGCAGGGAGAGGCGAUGUGGAAUACGCCGGCGCAGCCGCGCAUGGCUUCGAGUACGGAGUCGUAGUGGAGGAGCUCCAUCUGGAAGAGGCGGAGGCGCUCCGACGCUCCAUCCAAGGCUUUUAGAUGCUUUGUCUCGGCCUCAUCGUCUGUUAGAAAAGUUGUGUUGUGCUGUGUAAGUAUAUAUUGGGAUGAAACGAAUGAAUAAUGAGAGUGUGGAAUGUACUAACUGAGAUUUCGGACGGUGGCGUGAACGGUGUAGCCGCGGUCCAGAAGGAGGUGGACGAGCCAGGAAGCGAUGGCGCCGCUGCCGCCGGUGACACACACCACCUUCUCCAUUUUGCAACUUAAUUCUAACACGAAAACGAUCACUAGAGACUUGAGAAGUCCACUUUGAAAUCAAGAGAAGAAGAAAGAAACAAGUGUAAUGAUGUGACGAACAUACACAUUUUUAUAGAAUAAUAUCACUUCAAUACUAUUAUUUUAAACAUCUAUACAUCCGUAUUUUAUUAUUUUAUUCAAUUUUUAUGUUAAAUUUCAUAAAAAAUUAACAUUAAAUAUAUAAAAAAUAUUACUUAAAAAAUAUUUAUUUUCUUUUUCAAUUUGAGUUUUUUUUUUUUUGAAGUUUUUACUCUUCUUCCAUUGAUAGUUUUGGAAUGAGAGAGUAUAAUGAUGAUAAUGAUUUUAUAAAAAAAUAUAAUUGUUUCUAAUGAGGAAUUGAAAAUAAAUGUUAUUUUAUUUGUUAAAUUUUAUGUAAAAACUUGAUCGUAUGUUUUAUUUUUUUCUUUUGUCUUAAAAUUAAGAAAAGAGUAGGAGAUGUGCAUAUGCAAUAAUAUUAAAAUAAAAAAUAGUUUUAAUUUUUAAUUAAUUUAUAUAAAAUAAUAAAAUAUUUAAUUAUAUUAAUAAAAUGAGAUAUAUUAAAUAAAGAUAAAAUAAAUUAUACACUAAAAAUCGAUUAUAAUAAAAAAAUUAUAUAUAGAUAUAAAUAUUUUUUUAUAUUAUUUAAUUUCAAAGUUAGUCUUUAUUAUAUAUAUUUAAUUGUCAAACUGUAUUAAAAAAAAAAGACAGGGACAGUAGAAUUAAUUUGACAGAAAACGAAAGACAUGGAAAAUUUGACAACAAAAAUAUCGAAAUCAGCAAUGCAGAAUUAAUUAUAGGAAAGUUGGUGAGUACGAAAACCAAUCCAAUUUUUUAAAGGAUCCGGAUUUUUGACAACGUACGCAUCGUAUAACUCUGAAAAAAUCUUAAUAUUUUAAUAGUGUGUGAUCUUCUGUCAUAUUGGAAUCUUUUUCUUAUCUUUUUUGUAGUUUUCAUAUUUUGAGGUUUCUUUCUUUUUUUUAAGCUUCACUAUGUAUUUGCAAAUUUUUCUUUGUGCACUGAAACAUUUAUUUUUUCUUCUGUAUUGUUUUUAUUUGAUCUCGGUUUUAUUUAUUGUUAUCGUUAUUCAUAAUAAUAUUAUUUUUAUUAAUACUAUUAUUAAAAUUAAUAAUAAUACUAAUACUAAUAUUAAUAAUAAUUUAAAUAAUAAAAAUAAUUUUAAUAUUACUACUAAUUAUAAUAAUAUUAUUAUUAUUAGUAAUAAUAUUAGUAUUAGUAGUAAUUAUAAUAAUAAUAAUUAUUAUUAUUAUAAUAAUAUUUUUUAACUAGUGUUAUUUAUUUAUCUUUAUAUUCUUACAAUUCCGAUUUAAUUUAGUCAAAUAUAUUCUUAAAGAAAAAAAAUAUUUAUUGUCAAACAUAAUUUUGAAUUGGAUUUUUUGACAUCAUUGUUAUAAUUUUAUUCAAAAUGAUUUUUUUUAUGUUUAAAUUUCAUAUUGUGAUUAAAUUUAGUAUGAAAGAUUUUAUUUAUUGAAGUACUGAGCAAUUGGACUCGAGUAUGAUUGAGGUUAAUCCGUUGGUCAUUUAAAAAAAUGGUUUAGGAAGUGGUGACCUAGUCUAACGGUUAGAGAGGAUGAUGAAUAAGGUGAAUUGAGUUUGUUUAUAACACAUUAAAUUUAUUAUUCACAUGAAAUUUAUUUUUCACAUGAAAAAUGAAAUCUAUUACUUUAAACAUGAUUGUUAAUAUGGAUAACAAAGACCUACUAACUAAUAAAAUUGUCUUAAAUCAUAAAUUAAAAUUAUUCUACACAACUACAAGUUGGAUUGAUUCGUUAUAAUAAUUGUACACGGAUAACAGUAACAUUAGAGAAAUUCAGCUUGUACGAGACUGUUUUCUCAAUGCCUUGUUUGAGAUUUUAUAUUUUGUUUGACUGUGUGGCUUUGUCGGUAUGGUAGACGUUCCUUGGUAGAAAGAGGAUAAAGUACAAAUUUGUAUAAGGGUUAGACCACUAUGUAGUGGUUCAUAUUUAUUAUUUUUUAUUGAUAAUAAAAAAACAAUUUUAUUAUCAUUUUAUUUUAUUUAUUUUGAUGGAUGUAUUACAAUAGUAUAAUAAAUUAUUAUAGAAUCAUAAUUUUGUAUUAGUUUUUUUUUACGUUCAAGUUAUAUUUAGUAUGUAUUUUUUUAAAAUAAAAUCAUAUUUAUAGAUUUUUGAACUUAUUGAAAUAUCGAAUAAAAUUAUUUGAAAAAUCUAUUAUUGAAUAUUAUAGAUCAUUCCAAGACUCAAUCAUAGAGGAACACAAACUCAUAGUACCAAAGGAUAACUUUUUUUUCAUUAAUUUAAUUUCCAACUCAUUGAGAUAAUUAUAAAAGCAUUUCUAUCCAUAACAUUAUGACAAAAUGUAAAGUACACUUUAUUUUCUUAAUAUAUAUAAUUUGACUUUGAUUAACCAAGUGGGCUUGCUGAUAAAAAAAAAACCAAGUGGGCUUCUUCAAUACCUGCAUCAUUUUAAUAUUUGGUAACAUUGUUUAUGGUUUCCCAAUUUUUACUUUAUGCAUAUGGACCCACUUUUUGUUUGUUGCUAUUUUACUUUAUUCAUUUUCAUUUUAUUUUUAAUUCAAAAUAUUAUUAUAUUAUUAUAAGUGUAUCUUAUUUACUGUUGUUUAUUGUUUAUGGUUUUAAAGUAACUUUUCUCUUUUGUCAUACAUUCACAUGGGGAGCGCUUAUUUGUUUGCAUGAAAAUUGGAAAUAAGGAGUUGAAGACGUACAAGAAAGAAAGAGUAACUCUAAAUAAAAGAAUAACUUCACUUUUUAAAAUAAUUAGUACGUUGAACCGUGGAACGCACGGGAAUUUUUUCAAUAUUUUAUAUGUAAAUAUUAAUAUUAAAAUUAAUAAUUUAAUUUAUUUAUAUAUAAUUUCAGUUAUACUUCCGUAUUUUUAUAUCUUUCUUAUAUAUUUUUAGUUGUAAUAUUUGAAAAAGUAGUUUUUGGAUCGAUCAAUACCAAAUGAGUGAGUUAUUUCACUUUGAAAAUUUAUCAACCACAUUAAAAUACAUUUAAGACACUCAAUAAAUGAGUUGCAACAAUUAUGAAAACUACCUACAAAUCAAAGUCAUAUCCCAUCUCGGUGAUACUCCGGGAAAAUAAUUAAUAUUAAUUUAUUGAAUAUAUUAUCUAAAUAUACAUAUCUAUAAAUCAGGGAAUCUCCUUAAAAAAUCACUUAACACUGAUAUUUGAUAAAUUCGACCCAUAACAAGAAAUGACUCAUGAGUAAACCCUUUACAAAGAAGGAAGAUACGCUUUUGAUCAAUUUCACUAUACACUCUUAACACAAGGUACUUACUUGAUCGUUGAAAAACCUUUUGCAAGUUAACUCCUAAUCGACUAUUGAGAAAUUGAGGAGAAGGAGUCUUGAAGUUUAAAUGAGUGAAGUACUGAGGAGCAAGGGAGGGACCGACAACCAAAACAAUUGUUACAGUCAAUCUCAUGUUAUAUCUAGUCUCACUUUGUCUAUACAAGUACAAGUACCAUAAUUUCAUCGUGUGUAAGAGGCUUGACGAGAAGAUUUGUUGUAUUUGACAUUCUCUAGUGGAAAGACAAUUUUUUUAGUUUUGUACUUCAUUUUUACACAUUGUUUUUUUGUGGUUUCCAAAAAAAAAAAAAACAAAACAAAAACAGAGUCACCACCGAACAAUCAUCAUCACUUGAAAAUGAAGAAGAUACAACACUCUCCAUCAAGUAUUGUUGGAAUUAAAAAAGAGUAUGUAAGUGGAGGAUGAAGAUAUGGAGGUGCAAAGAGAAUUCGCCAUCAAUUUUGUGCAUAUGGGACUACUUUUUUCAUCACAUUUUGGUAUCACCCUUCCUUCAUGGGUGUUUCUUUCUGCACCUUUAUAUUUUUCUUCCUGCACCCCAACAUUCAUGUGCAAUUACAAAAGUAUCUCUAAGACAUCUAAAAAACCCAAAAGGAGCAUAUCUCACUCUUUCUUUCUUCCUUUUCUACAAUUGUUGUAAAAAACGUGGUGGCCCACUUGCAGCAAACAGCAAAUAAUGGGCAAAGAAAACACGAUGACCCCACUUGCAGCAAACAGAAAAUAAUGAGUAAAUAAAAAAAUAGGGUUUGCAGGAAAUAUAGAAAAGAAUGAGGAAAGAAAAGAAUGGCAUGUGAAGGCAUUGUAAGGAAGGGUGAUGCCACAACGUUAUGAGAAUGAGUGGUUGUGAUGGAUGAAUGAAUAAUUAAGAUUCUUUCACAUUCUAAACAGUAUCUCACUUUCAUUCUCUAACCAUUUAUAGUAACAUCCCCACUUAUUCUUUCUUCUUUUAUAACAAAAAACAUAAACAACCACCCCUUUUUUCUUUCCUUUCUUUUAUUUACUACUUUUUUUAUAUCAUUUAAUUAUAAAUCUUUCUUUUGUUCUGAUCCCCAUGUGAAUGUCUGAAGAGGAAAUCAUUUAGGUGUCAAUAAGAACAUUGACAUAUUGGUUUAUAAUUAAAAAUUCUUGAUUUUGCAGACUUUAACUUUGAGUAGAAAGUUGAUAUUAUAUUAUUAUGUUUAUCUAUUUAUUAACUCAAAUUUAUUGAAUUGAAGAACUGAUUUUCUGCUUUGAUUUGUAAUAGAAUUAAACAAUUUUUAAAAUAAUUCAUAUUUAUUUAUUCCUUCAUACUAAUAAUAAAACUAACCACACCAACAAAAGUUUAACAACACAUAUGAUCGUGCCUUAUUUUACAACAACAGGAAUUUGCACCAAACAUAUGUGCCAUAAGGACUCAUAUUGCAGCAGCAAUUAUGGAAGGAAUCCUUUUUUCUUCAAAUCCUCUACAGAAUCCUUAAUAAUCUCCUCAAUUGGAGUGAUUUGCAAACCCAAAUCCAUAAGUUUCUUUGAUCCAUCCUUCACUCUCAAUAAUCCUGGUUGGGUAUCUCGUUGCAUCCUUUCAAGCAAAA
rnacentral:lncRNA from 1 species